rnacentral:rRNA from 1 species
UGGGGAAUAUUGCACAAUGGGCGCAAGCCUGAUGCAGCCAUGCCGCGUGUAUGAAGAAGGCCUUCGGGUUGUAAAGUACUUUCAGCGAGGAGGAAGGCGUUGUGGUUAAUAACCGCAACGAUUGACGUUACUCGCAGAAGAAGCACCGGCUAACUCCGUGCCAGCAGCCGCGGUAAUACGGAGGGUGCAAGCGUUAAUCGGAAUUACUGGGCGUAAAGCGCACGCAGGCGGUCUGUCAAGUCGGAUGUGAAAUCCCCGGGCUCAACCUGGGAACUGCAUCCGAAACUGGCAGGCUAGAGUCUUGUAGAGGGGGGUAGAAUUCCAGGUGUAGCGGUGAAAUGCGUAGAGAUCUGGAGGAAUACCGGUGGCGAAGGCGGCCCCCUGGACAAAGACUGACGCUCAGGUGCGAAAUCGUGGGGAGCAAACA